rnacentral:rRNA from 1 species
AGAGUUUGAUCCUGGCUCAGGAUGAACGCUAGCUACAGGCUUAACACAUGCAAGUCGAGGGGCAGCAUGUCGGUUGCUUGCAACCGAUGAUGGCGACCGGCGCACGGGUGAGUAACGCGUAUCCAACCUACCCUUGUCCAUCGGAUAACCCGUCGAAAGGCGGCCUAACACGAUAUGCGGUUCACAGCAGGCAUCUAACGUGAACGAAAUGUGAAGGAGAAGGAUGGGGAUGCGUCUGAUUAGCUUGUUGGCGGGGUAACGGCCCACCAAGGCUACGAUCAGUAGGGGUUCUGAGAGGAAGGUCCCCCACAUUGGAACUGAGACACGGUCCAAACUCCUACGGGAGGCAGCAGUGAGGAAUAUUGGUCAAUGGACGAGAGUCUGAACCAGCCAAGUAGCGUGCAGGAUGACGGCCCUAUGGGUUGUAAACUGCUUUUAUAGGGGGAUAAAGUGUGCCACGUGUGGCAUAUUGCAGGUACCCUAUGAAUAAGGACCGGCUAAUUCCGUGCCAGCAGCCGCGGU